UACGGUGGGUGCGAGCGUUGUCCGGAAUCACUGGGCGUAAAGGGCGCGUAGGUGGCGUGAUAAGGGUGUGGUGAAAGCCCGGGGCUCAACCCCGGGUCUGCCAUGCCGACUGUCAGGCUAGAGUACUGUAGGGGCAGGCGGAAUUCCGGGUGUAGCGGUGGAAUGCGUAGAGAUCCGGAGGAAGACCGGUGGCGAAGGCGGCCUGCUGGGCCGACAUUGACGCUCAGGCACGAAAGCGUGGGGAGCAAACAGG
rnacentral:rRNA from 1 species